UGGGGAAUAUUGCACAAUGGGGGAAACCCUGAUGCAGCCAUGCCGCGUGUGUGAAGAAGGCCUUCGGGUUGUAAAGCACUUUCAGUUGUGAGGAAAGGUUAAUGGUUAAUACCCAUUAGCUGUGACGUUAACAACAGAAGAAGCACCGGCUAACUCCGUGCCAGCAGCCGCGGUAAUACGGAGGGUGCGAGCGUUAAUCGGAAUUACUGGGCGUAAAGCGCACGCAGGCGGUCUGUUAAGCUAGAUGUGAAAGCCCCGAGCUCAACUUGGGAUGGUCAUUUAGAACUGGCAGACUAGAGUCUUGGAGAGGGGAGUGGAAUUUCUAGUGUAGCGGUGAAAUGCGUAGAUAU
rnacentral:rRNA from 1 species